GCCCAAAUAGUGUAGUGGCCUAGCACUCUACCCUGUCACGGUGGCAACCCGGGUUCGAAUCCCGGUUUGGGCG
rnacentral:tRNA from 1 species